UACGGGGGGGGCAAGCGUUGUUCGGAAUUACUGGGCGUAAAGGGCUCGUAGGUGGCCAACUAAGUCAGACGUGAAAUCCCUCGGCUUAACCGGGGAACUGCGUCUGAUACUGGAUGGCUUGAGGUUGGGAGAGGGACGCGGAAUUCCAGGUGUAGCGGUGAAAUGCGUAGAUAUCGAGAGGAACACCAGUGGCGAAGGCGAGUCCCUGGACAACUCCUGACACUGAGGCACGAAAGCUAGGGGAGCAAACAGG
rnacentral:rRNA from 1 species